UACGUAGGGGGCAAGCGUUGUCCGGAUUUAUUGGGCGUAAAGAGUGUGUAGGCGGUGCUCUAAGUUCGGUGUGAAAUCUCCCGCUUAACUGGGAGGGUGCGCCGGAAACUGGAGUGCUCGAACGUGGGAGAGGAAAGUGGAAUUCCCGGUGUAGUGGUGAAAUGCGUAGAUAUCGGGAGGAACACCAGUGGCGAAGGCGACUAUCUGGGCUGCAACUGACGCUGAGGCGCGAAGGCUAGGGUAGCAAACAGG
rnacentral:rRNA from 1 species